CACACUCAACCUUAAAGUGAUCAAAUACCUUAUUCAAAAGGUAAACAUAUGGAAUCCCAUGUUUUUAUCCAAAACUAUCAUAACCCUGUACAUGUGUUCAAUCAUAAUUGCUGAGAGAUUGACAUUUUCAAACUUACUAAAGGAUCCCAUGGGGAACAGGUCCAAUAUAAAGAUCUCCAUCAAAAUAUAUGUUCAGCGGUGGGAGGAGACUCGAAGGAUUUGGGAGUACCUUGUUCCUCAAAGAUGGCUUCACUCACAAGUUUUUGGGUAAGACCAUAAACAUCAUGAAAUAUUUUUUAGAGAGGCUCUGAAAAAAUAGGGUCAGGAACUAAUUGAUUUUCUGGCACACGUUGAGACACUUGAGGAGAUAAAACAGAGGAAAUGGGGUUUACUUCUAGAGUUUCUUGGGCAGGGGAUACAACCUUUUCAGAUCUAGUGGUAGAUCAGAUAGAUGUUUCUAAAAAAGGAUUUUUGACAUUGGAGGAAGAUCUUCUUAGAUGAGAAUCCUUAUUUCUAAUAAGCAACUUAGAAAUGAAAGAGGGUUGAGACAUUUCUAGUAUAUCAAGAGAAGAAAGAGUGAGCAAGAUGUUUGAAGAUGUGAAGAGGAUAGAAUUUCAAAGGGAGAAGAGAAUUUCAGUGAUAAGAAAAUGAAGAAGUUGGAGUUAAAAGUUAUUUAAAGAUGGCAGAGGUGACGAUUAGGAUUAAAGAGAAGAGAUGUUCCCAGUCUCGAUAGAACAUGUCCUUUGGAUUUUCAAAUAGAUAGAAAAAUGGUGUAGAAAGUGGGAUGAGGCACAUGGCUAUUUUGAACAAUAAAUGUUUGCAUUUUUAGAAAGCUAUACAUAUGAUACUAACCUUUUGAGUA